rnacentral:lncRNA from 1 species
CAGGUAGACUUGAUGUUUGCUAAUAUGGUUAUCCAGCCCUAAGUAGCAGAAUUAAAGAUUUCUCUAUUAGACACAGAGGAGAAACAAAAGGUUCUUUUGGAAGCUCGCAAAAAUGUGCCAGGGGACCACGGGCGCCCCACCCAACUCACAAAUUUGAUUAACGAAGCUUUUCCUUUAACCCGGCCAAACUGGGACUAUGCGACUGAAGCAGACUCAUUUGCAUGCUUUGCAAUUGGUCCAGAACGAGGUCUGGAAGCCUCUAGCCGCAGCAUACAAAGAAAAACUUAAAACCCCCUUGCUGCCACAUCCCUUCAAGGUCGGAGAUACCGUCUGGGUAUGCAGGCACCAGAGCAGGAACCUCGAACCGCGGUGGAAAGGACCCUACACUAUCCUGCUGACCACUCCUACUGCACUCAAAGUGGACGGCAUCGCUGCUUAGAUCCA